rnacentral:rRNA from 1 species
AACGUAGGUGGCAAGCGUUAUCCGGAUUCACUGGGUUUAAAGGGUGCGUAGGCGGGUUGGUAAGUCCGUGGUGAAAUCUCCGAGCUUAACUCGGAAACUGCCGCGGAUACUAUCAAUCUUGAAUAUCGUGGAGGUAAGCAGAAUAUGUCAUGUAGCGGUGAAAUGCUUAGAUAUGACAUAGAACACCAAUUGCGUAGGCAGCUUACUACACGAUCAUUGACGCUGAGGCACGAAAGCGUGGGGAGCAAACAGG